ACGAGAGAAGCGAUCGCCAGC
rnacentral:siRNA from 1 species